CUUCUGAAGGCCCAGCUCCAGUUACAUGCCUUCUGGACCUCAAGGUUGCAUUACACCAGCCCUCCUGGUUGUAUUUCUUUUAAUUUUACCUUAGUUUGGUGCUGUUUUGCUCCUCUUUGUGUCUGAGUUACUUUCUGUAUGAUUUUAGCUCAUGCUUACAAAGAUCACCUAGGAAUCUUCAUAGAUAUUAUGUCCUCAAGAUAUUAUGUCCUCUAGAGGCAGACUAGAGUUUCUACUAUCAACCAUGAUCCAUUCACAGCCAUGCCAGUUUGCUGCUUCAAAUGACAACCAGAUCUACUUAGGGGAAGAUGCUCCAGCAUUCUACUUGAAAUGGCAGACUGGGGCAUGGAUCUGCAAAUAGAUUUACUUACAGCACAGACGGGGACAUCUGCCAUCUACAGCACUGAAUUACCUGUUUUCAUUGCUGCUCUGGCUCCAGAAAGCAUUGACUUUCCCGAAAGGAAGCCAGUCAUGACACUGGUAUGAUGACAAAAAUGUUUGGUGAUGACUACAGAUAAUCUUUUGACCUGCCCAGAACUAUUGAAGAUUGAAACAAACAUGGCCAGUUUCAAGCCAAUUAUACAGAUGCUCUAAGGUCAUCAUGUCCCCACAAUGGCAGGCUUUUGUGCAUAGAGGAGAACCUGGGGUAAUCCAAUGAAGGUGAAUGUUGGGAGAUUCAGGACAAACAAGAAGUCUUCACCAAGGACAAAAUUAAACUAUGGAAUUUGCUCUCAUCAACCUAGAUGGCUUCAAAAAGGAAUUAGAGAAAUUUAUGGAGGAUAAGACAAAUCAGCGACAUGAUGGCUAUAGCUGCAUCCAGGAUCAGAGGAGGCCUACAUCAGAAUACCAGAGACAACAAAGAAUAAUGGGAGAGGAUUAUCACCCUCAUGUCCUGCUUGUGGGCUUCCUAUAGGCAUGUGGUUGGCCUCUGUGGGAUACAAAAUGCCGGACUAAUUCUGCUGGUUAAGAUAUUUGGGAUUAAUGAUUUAUUACAUUGUUCAGUUUAAUUGGUUGUAUUUUAUAUAUCUAUUUUUUUUAUAAAAUAAUAAAUUUUUUGGAAGCAGCACUGAAGAGGCCAGAAAUCUUCAGCUGCCAACCAUGAGAAAGUCCUAAUUUCUAAAUUGAUUUUGAUGAAGUAAUGAAGUCAAAUAUAAUCUGGAGAUCUUGUCAACAACUCUGUUGUGUGUUUAUUCUUGAUUCAGCUUCACAGAAGAAUUUUGUAUUUUCAGUGUGUUUUGGCUACAAGAUGAGUUUAUUUCAUUUGUGUUUUUAUCUACAUUGUACCAUAUGAGUCUAUUCCACAAAUGUUUUCCUUGCUGUAAUAUACUGUAUUAUUGUUUUCAUCAGUAAACAUCAGCUACUUCUUAUACUGCU